rnacentral:rRNA from 1 species
UACGGGGGGGGCAAGCGUUGUUCGGAAUUACUGGGCGUAAAGGGCUCGUAGGUGGCCAACUAAGUCAGACGUGAAAUCCCCAGGCUUAACCUGGGAACUGCGUCUGAUACUGGAUGGCUAGAGUUUGGGAGAGGGAUGCGGAAUUCCAGGUGUAGCGGUGAAAUGCGUAGAUAUCUGGAGGAACACCGGUGGCGAAGGCGGCUUGCUGGGCCAGUUCUGACGCUGAGGAGCGAAAGCGUGGGGAGCAAACGGG